AAAAACAUGUCCUUUAGAAUUUAAUUUAAGGUCUGACCUGCCCACUGAAUUAAAUGGCCGCAGUAUUUUAACUGUGCAAAGGUAGCAUAAUCAUUAGUCUUUUAAUUGAAGGCUUGUAUGAAUGGUUGGACGAAAUAUUAACUGUUUCAUAAUAAUUGAUUUAGAAUUUUAUUUUUUAGUUAAAAAGCUAAAAUUUUUUUAAAAGACGAGAAGACCCUAUAGAUCUUUAUAAUUUAUUUAUUAUAGUUAUUUAGAUAAUUUAAAUUAUAAUUGUGUAAAUUAUUUUGUUGGGGUGACAUUAAAAUUUAAUUAACUUUUAAUUUGUUGUUACAUUGAUUUAUGAUUUAUUGAUCCAUUAUUAAUGAUUAUAAAAUUAAGUUACCUUAGGGAUAACAGCGUAAUUUUUUUGAAGAGUUCAUAUCGAUAAAAAAGAUUGCGACCUCGAUGUUGGAUUAAGAUAUAAUUUUGGGUGCAGCAAUUCAAUUAUUAAGUCUGUUCGACUUUUGAUUUCUUACAUGA
rnacentral:rRNA from 1 species